rnacentral:rRNA from 1 species
GACGAAGGGGGCUAGCGUUGUUCGGAAUUACUGGGCGUAAAGCGAGUGUAGGUGGUUGUCCAAGUUGGAUGUGAAAGCCUUGAGCUCAACUCAAGAAAUGCAUUCAGGACUGGGCGGCUAGAGGACCGGAGAGGAUAGUGGAAUUCCCAGUGUAGUGGUGAAAUACGUAGAGAUUGGGAAGAACACCGGUGGCGAAGGCGGGUCUCUGGGCAGUAACUGACGCUGAGGAGCGAAAGCGUGGGGAGCGAACAGG